UGGGGAAUUUUGGACAAUGGGCGCAAGCCUGAUCCAGCCAUACCGCGUGCGGGAAGAAGGCCUUCGGGUUGUAAACCGCUUUUGUCAGGGAAGAAAUCUUCUGGGCUAAUACCUCGGGAGGAUGACGGUACCUGAAGAAUAAGCACCGGCUAACUACGUGCCAGCAGCCGCGGUAAUACGUAGGGUGCAAGCGUUAAUCGGAAUUACUGGGCGUAAAGCGUGCGCAGGCGGCUUUGCAAGACAGAUGUGAAAUCCCCGGGCUCAACCUGGGAACUGCAUUUGUGACUGCAAGGCUAGAGUACGGUAGAGGGGAGUGGAAUUCCGCGUGUAGCAGUGAAAUGCGUAGAUAUGCGGAGGAACACCGAUGGCGAAGGCAGCUCCCUGGACCUGUACUGACGCUCAUGCACGAAAGCGUGGGGAGCAAACAGGAUUAGAUACCCUGGUAGUCCACGCCCUAAACGAUGUCAACUGGUUGUUGGGAGGGUUUCUUCUCAGUAACGUAGCUAACGCGUGAAGUUGACCNCCUGGGGAGUACGGCCGCAAGGUUG
rnacentral:rRNA from 1 species